UACGGAGGGCGCAAGCGGUGUUCGGAAUCACUGGGCGUAAAGCGCGUGUAGGCGGCUCUGCAAGUCGGGUGUGAAAUCCCGAGGCUCAACCUCGGAACUGCACUCGAUACUGCUUGGCUCGAGUCCCGGAGAGGGUGGCGGAAUUCCCGGUGUAGGGGUGAAAUCCGUAGAUAUCGGGAGGAACACCAGUGGCGAAGGCGGCCACCUGGACGGUGACUGACGCUGAGACGCGAAAGCGUGGGGAGCAAACAGG
rnacentral:rRNA from 1 species